CCUUUAAAUACAAGCUGAGCUUGGCCGUGGUGUGUGUGUGAAGUGUUACAAGACUCUUUAACUCCCGUCAAAAGAAGAAUUUAACCCACAAGGACUUUUUGUGUAACAAACACAUAUACACACAGAAUUCAAAAAUGUCUGCUGGUGUCAAAGUGAGUGAGCCGGGAAUGGAGGGAAGCGUGAAGAACGAGGAGGUCUUUGAGGCGGCAAAGAAGAUGAUGGGCCGGGAAUUCCAGACCGUACUGGCUGCCCUCCUCAAAAUCCUCCCUGACUAUGAGGAUAUGCUGGUAAAAUUCAUAUUGAUAACUCCUCUCUUUAUAGUCACACUGACCAUUGCUCAUAUAAACCUUCAGUCUGCUACUUCAACUAAUAAGGGACAAGUGUAUAAGAUUCAGAUUUCUCACCUAAAAUUGUUAAGUUUUUGUGUUCUGAUCUGCUGAUAAAUGAAAAAUGUGCCUAUCUGUUUUAUCUACAAAGGAUUUGGAAUGUUUGGCUGACUGCAAUAAAUGAAAUUUCACGAAACAUGACAUAUGUCAAGCUGUUACAUAUUGCAUGUCCAACAGAAUGUAGCUAUGUGGGCACUAGGCCAGGAUUUAUUUUAGUUUGAAUGGUUUCAGAAUGGGUCUAUGAGGCUGUUUUUUGAAUCAUUUCAUUCUUAUAAACCUUUUCUGCUGAGAAAGUUACAUAUUUCAUGCCGGGCAAUGUGUGUGUUGUUGUUUUUUGUUUUUUGUAUUGCGAAAGGUCGGUGUGUCUCUCUCCUUGAAUUUGAUUGGUGGAAAAAAGGGUGUGUAUAUAUAAUCAUAGGAAGAGUUGAAUGGCUUUCCCAGUAUCUGGCGGAAGAAAAUAUUGAUAAAAUGUUUAAACCACACAGACAGCAUCGCAUUUAUGUAAAAAAAAAAAAAAAAUGUUUUGUUUAUCUUAUUUAUUUAUUUAUAUUUAGAUUUCAUAUAGACUGAUAUCAAACUGACUGUUUGUUUCUUCAUUUUUUUGAUAUAUUUGAAAUUAUCUAUUUUUCUUGUGCAUGCUCUGGGCAUUUAUUUUUAAAUUUAAUCAAGUUUGUUUGGUUAAAAGGCUUCCAGUUGGGUGCGAAGGGCUUUGACCUGGUUUGAUUAAGGUUUCUGCUCCAUAAAUUUUUAUUUGUAUACUGUGUAAAGUGAGAAUUGAAUACAGGCGAUAUUUUUGAUAUCUUGUAGGAUCUUUUUUUAAGAACCAGUUUUACUCGGGCAAUAAAGAUUUCAGGGCUGUAAUGUCACGUUAUUUGUGAAAUUUGAAGAUAAAAUUGUUUGCUUUCACUUACUUUAUAUCUUGUAUCAAAUUAACUCUAGCAUCAUUGUUUUGACAAGUGUCAAAUGAACAAAAAGGAUUUUCAAAAAGCCUAUUGCAUGCAAAAAGCUGUAAAUUUCAAGUGAUGGAGUAUUUGAUAUAUAUUUUUAUUUUAAAAAUGUCAAGUUUGCAUGUUUUGAAAAAAAUUCCUGAAUGAAUGUAGGUGUUGGG
rnacentral:misc_RNA from 1 species